GAUGACCUUUUGCUACAGGCUUAACACAUGCAAGUCGAGGGGAAACGACAUCGAAAGCUUGCUUUUGAUGGGCGUCGGCCGGCGCACGGGUGAGUAACGCGUAUCCAACCUGCCCACCACUUGGGGAUAACCUUGCGAAAGUAAGACUAAUACCCAAUGACGUCUCUAGAAGACAUCUGAAAGAGAUUAAAGAUUUAUCGGUGAUGGAUGGGGAUGCGUCUGAUUAGCUUGUUGGCGGGGUAACGGCCCACCAAGGCAACGAUCAGUAGGGGUUCUGAGAGGAAGGUCCCCCACAUUGGAACUGAGACACGGUCCAAACUCCUACGGGAGGCAGCAGUGAGGAAUAUUGGUCAAUGGACGAGAGUCUGAACCAGCCAAGUAGCGUGCAGGAAGACGGCCCUAUGGGUUGUAAACUGCUUUUAUAAGGGAAUAAAGUGAGUCUCGUGAGACUUUUUGCAUGUACCUUAUGAAUAAGGACCGGCUAAUUCCGUGCCAGCAGCCGCGGUAAUACGGAAGGUCCGGGCGUUAUCCGGAUUUAUUGGGUUUAAAGGGAGCGUAGGCCGGAGAUUAAGCGUGUUGUGAAAUGUAGAUGCUCAACAUCUGAACUGCAGCGCGAACUGGUUUCCUUGAGUACGCACAAAGUGGGCGGAAUUCGUGGUGUAGCGGUGAAAUGCUUAGAUAUCACGAAGAACUCCGAUUGCGAAGGCAGCUCACUGGAGCGCAACUGACGCUGAAGCUCGAAAGUGCGGGUAUCGAACAGGAUUAGAUACCCUGGUAGUCCGCACGGUAAACGAUAGAUGCCCGCUGUUGGUCUGAAUAGGUCAGCGGCCAAGCGAAAGCAUAA
rnacentral:rRNA from 1 species